UCCCCCGCACGCCCGGCCGCCCUCGCUCGAGCCGCUGCCACCUCCCAGCCCAUUCCACGGGACUGGAAAUCCUUUCCUAUCCUUCUGGAGAAUCCUUCCCCACCUCCAAUCCAAUCCGAGUUCUUCAGGGGAUCAGGAAGAGCGAUGAACUUUUCCACCUGAUCUCCCCCCGCGGAUUCCCAGACACUCCUCAGGCACGCUCACGGCUCCCUCGGCCACCAGCAUUUCUGUCCUUUCCUCUACACGGCGGGGGGGGGGGAAACCCUGAGCCCUUCCAGCAUCCACGGCUUUGCCUGCAAGGGUUAAACCAGGGAAUGGAGCAGCGUCCUUUCUGUCGGAGACACGCCACCCUGAACGCGAAAUCAAACCUACUCACCGGCUGAAAUCGCAGGAGGCGAAGCGGCUGCGAGCAAAACGCGUCCCGGCUCCGAGCACAUAGUCCAUGGUCUGCGGCUUCAGGCUAGAGCAGGGCUGAGCAGGGCGGGGGGACUUGGGGAACCGGCAGCAGUUCUGUGUGUGAAACAACCCAUUUACACCGUGCGUGCCUGUCUGUGUGUGUGUGUGUAGGGCAGAGAGAGGCUCCAGACCCAAAACGGGGAAAGGAGGGGAGGAGGGAGGGAGGAGAGAGAAGGAGGAGGAGAGAGGGAAGCAAACCCGAAUAGCGAGAGGAGUUGCGGGGAGGAAUGGGAUUUGCUGGGGUUGAGGUGGGGUUUUUUUGGUGGUGAUGGAAGCGAUUCUCGAGGAAAGAAUAAUAAACCGCGGGAUCUCAGCAGCAGGCAGGAUGGAGAGGGGCUUUGCCCAGGCAGGCUCUCUGUAUGGAAAUCACGACCUGGCUCGGUGGAAAAAUCUCCCUUUUCUUCACAUAGUGCCUCUGGAAUGUGUGCGGAAUCUCAAGCUCUGUAAGCACCAGUUCACGGCCGUUUGCCAGUCUGGCAGUUUUAUGUUUCCAGAAUCUGUCACGAGAUAUUCGGAAAACCACAGAAACCCAAGAUUCCUCUGGCAUCACGUGGGACUGAUAAAACGGAAGACAAAGAGCCGUAGUGUGUGACUGGGGUAGGUCUCCAGCACCAGGGUGCACACAGGGAGAAGUGUCUUCAUAGCAGUGUUUGGUGCUGCAAAUGUUGGCAGGAUCCACUGGAGCUGUGUUUGGUCCUCUCUCUAACGAUGUCCUUAGGCUGAACUUGCUUUGCAGCUCCUUCACACCAAAGGCAGCUUAAAUCAGCCAAGGAGAAUUUUGAGUCCGACCAACCCCACCCUCCCAAUAGAAGAGAAGAGAUCGACUUCAUGAGUCUUUGGCUUCGCAAUGUGGUGUUUUCAUUUCAUAGCAUCCAGAGGUGCAGUGCACAUGGUCUGAUCUUUAUUUCACCGUGCUCUCUUUCCCUCCCUGCCACGCUCUUUCACCCGAAGAGCAGUACAACUUGGUUUCCUCAACUAGUAUAACCUCUGCUGGCCCUUUUCCACUUUAAAUCUAAUAAGAACAUUCUGAUGUUAUUCACUUCCUAGAAUUAUAGAAUCACAGAAUGGUUUGGUUAGAAGGGACAUUAAAGAUCAUCUCGUUCCAGCCCCCUAACACAAGCAGGGACACCUUCCACUAGACCAGGCUGUUGGUUUUUAACCUAAAGGUUAAAAAAAGUUACUUUAUAAUUACAACACAGAUCUGCAACAGUGGUCAACUCCAAGACCUAAUUGUGGCCACAGUUCACUUUUGGCUCUUAAAAAUCACCCUGAAGCAGAGUUAAAGGGUUGUAGAGGACUAUGGUGCUUUUUGUUCAAUGAUGUUAAUAAUCUAUGGCCUUAGAAUAUGAUAUCACAAAGUCUCAUCCUAGGGCAGAAUAAUGAAAUCACAAGCAAUGGAACGGGCCAGAAACUUAUAUCACUCCCCAAAAUGCUAAAUGCAAACUGGGACCCAAUCUGAACUGAGGAGCUGCACAUCUGAUGUGAGAGGGGAGGGGCACUUCAAGUCCUCCCGUCCUAAAAGCCUCGUGGCCCUGAAUUACAGGCCAUUAGAUUCCUUUGUCCUGUAAAUCUGCGUUAAAUAGCAGCGUGAUUCUGUGUCGGUAAACGCAGGUUUUAACAGCUUAUCCCAUAAUAUUUUGAUUUUUCUUUGCUUCAUCUAUUCAGCCUUUUCACCGUUUUUCUCCCAGGACCUGCUUAUGCUUCCCUUUAGCUACCGAAAAACGCAUGUAAUUUAUUAAGCCAGUUCGGUAGUUCUCUUAGUUUCCAGCAGACAAACCUAUUAUGCAAACAAUACUGUCACCUUCUCGCAGUGCCUUCUCCCGGCUGUAAUGAAUUCUCUGCAUGCUACUCUGCUGUAAAUUCUCCAUCUAAAAAUUCCACGCGCUGCGUGUUUUGUCAGGGGAAACUGUACUUGACUUUUGAAACAGUUGGGAGGAACAAAAUGAUAACCUACUAAAGUGCCUUGCCCUUAACUGAAAUUAUGGCAAGUAAUUAAAGUUAGAGCAGGAAGACUUAAACUUUGGACUGCUUAUGUUCUUAGCGUUUUUGCUUGGAUGAGGGUUUUUUUUUUUUAGGUGUCUGAUUUGAAUGUCAAAUUUGCAUAUUCAUCUAGAAAACAUAGGGAAUGCUUAAUUGCCUGUGUCCAGUGUUCCUAUUUUUCUUGGGAAACAAUGUUUCAUAUACUCGUGGGUUUCAUUUCUAGUUACUAUUUGCAUCCAUAAAUUGAACUGGGUGUCUAAACAAGUCCUGCAUUUGCUGAUUAUACAAACAAAUAUGCCAUAUUUAGAAUUUUGCUUUAUAAUCAUAUCAGAGAUACCUGGAAUUGCAGAACAGCCCGGGUUGGAAGGAAAAGGGAGCCUAGACGAGAUUAUCUAAUGCCCUGUUCACUCACAUAUUGAAACCCUCCAGCCAUGGGGCACUGCCAGGGAGGCAGCAGACUCCCCCAAGAAGUGUCAGCUCAGCAAACUGGCCCUUCUGUUCCCCAGGGAAGGAAUUCUCCUGCGACAAUAAUCCAGCCUCUUCUCUGUAUGGAAGCUGUUUUGACUCAGGGCACAGACCACUAACCUUGGUGACACCUCCAACCUUUAUGAACCAUUGUCCUCCUCUUGUUCCCACCCUCUUGCAGAGCCUUGUGCCUGUUAUCCAUGGGCACCUGGGAAUGUGGAGCAGUCCCAGAGGAGACACUGCCACUGCAGUGCUGUGGUGGGUCUGGCUGAGCUGGGGUUGGUUUCCCAUCUCGUCCCUCCCGGGGCUGUGCUUUGCAGUGGGAGCUGGAAAGGUGUUGAUAACACACCAGGGGAUGAGCAAGGUCCUGGGAGGGGACACAGCUGGGCCAGCUAUCCCCAAAGUGACCAAAGGGAUAUUCCAGACCAUAUGACAUCAGCUCAGAGGUAAAAGCCAAGGGAAGCAGGAAGAAUAUUGUUAUUUCCAACAUUUACCUUCCAGAGCAGCCACUCCAUGUGCCGAAGCCCUUCCUGGGAAGUGGCCAGACAUUUCUUGCUGAUGGGAAGCAGAGAACAAAAUGUUUGGGUUUUUUCUUUGCUUGUGUGCACACAAACUUUUGCUUUGGCAAACUACCCCAUCUCAACCUGGGAGUUGUUCUCUCUCCCCCACCUGGCUGAGAAGGGGACAGAAGCUGAGAAGGGGGACUGACAGAGUGGCUUAGUGAGCACCUGGUGUCCAGCCAAGGUCAAACCACCCCAGCUGGGCAGGAACUGUCACUAUUGCCCCCAAUCCCUUCAGUCACUGUAUUCAGCCAGGGAGAGAGAGAGAGGAUGUGGAAUCCUGCAAACCAUGUGUCCCAUCUGCAUGGUGGGCCUGUCCCAGGGAAAGGCAGGCUGUGAUUCCAGUAGCUGCUCUCUCUCUCAUACUACCUGAUACUCCUCAGCCUGCUCCCCUCCUCCCAGAGCUCCCAGGUUCCCCCACACCAGGACACUCUCCCCAUGCCUUGUACUGCACUAGAGCACUUGGCUGUGGACCUGGUGGCCCUGGCUCUGCUCACUUCAGUGACCAUGAUGAAUUCCCCCCCCCUCUUCUCCAAGGAGGGAACACCUAAUUCCUUCAGUGCUUCCUCACAGGGCAGGUACUCCAGCCCUUUGAUCACCUUCCUGACCUUCCUUUGGACCCUCUCUUGUCCUUCUGCUUCUUUCUUGAACUGUGGGGACACGAACUGGACACGGUGCUCCAAGUUCCUUCCACAGGCUCUAGUGGAAGGUGUCCCUGCCCAUGGCAAGGGGGUUGGAACCAGAUGGUCUUUAAGGUCCCUUCCAACCCAAACCAUUCUGUGACUGGAGGUGCAGCAUGACAGGUGAUGAGUAGGAUGGGAAGAUCCCACUCUGUCCCCACAGAUGCAGCCCAGGACCCCAUCUGCCUUUUAGCCACAGCAGGCACUGCUGACUCAUGAUCACUCCUUGUCCACCAACAUAUUUCGACCUAUACAUUUCUGCUUUAGCAGAGAUAUGAUUCACUGCAAUAAAAUUAUAUCCUCUGAGUUUUUCCUCACUUGCAGAGGAGAUUAUUUUUAGGAACUCCCAGCAUUUCGCUUACAGAGAAGGAACUAGUAGUGUAGAAUUUCUUUAAUUUCUCCCCAAAAGUCAAAGAAAUACAGCAUGUUUGCCUGUUCACUUGCUCUAUCCUUUGGCAGUAAGGGAUAAACUUAAAAGGCUGGGUUUUUUUAAGGCUCUUGCUAUCAUUAAAGCACCAGUUUUCUGAGAUAGAACAACCUCUUUGAAGAUAUGGUAUUUACUGUUUUCUGAUGGUAUUAAUUGCAAGACCUGUAAGCUCACAUGAGCUUACUGGACACAGCCAGACACACACUACUAGGAGGAAUCUUUUUUUUAUUUUUUUAAGUUGAGACAUGUCUUAACCAUGUUUCCAUGACCAGUGGCCACGCAGGCAUUUUUAAAACAACCUCUGGUGUGUUCAGGUAUUCACUUUUUCUCGCUAGCCAGACUUCAGACAAUCACAGAAGUCUCUUGUUACUUUCAAGAAAACAAAAAUAUAUUUGCAGAGGAAAAAAGUAAAGCAGGGGAUACAUUUUAAAUCAUAUUAAAGUGUUGUGGUGGAGAGUCCUAGGCAUCAAGUUUGCCUGUUUUCCUUAGAAGAAAAAUAUCUAGUGGCUGCAGUACCUCAGUACCAGAAAGAAUAUCCUACAGAAGUGGUGUAAUAUGUUCUUCCAGGAGUUGAUACGAUGGAUAUAGAAUGGAGGCCUCUCUCCCACAGGCAGUGACUUUACAAGCAGUGUGAGAAGCACUGGCCUGACACAGAGUCAGCAGAUUUGUAGAGGAAUUGAGGUGUAAU